rnacentral:rRNA from 1 species
UACGUAGGGACCGAGCGUUGUCCGGAAUCAUUGGGCGUAAAGGGCUCGUAGGCGGUUCGUCACGUCGGGAGUGAAAACUCGGGGCUUAACCCCGAGCCUGCUUCCGAUACGGGCAGACUAGAGGUAGGCAGGGGAGAGCGGAACUCCUGGUGUAGCGGUGAAAUGCGCAGAUAUCAGGAGGAACACCGGUGGCGAAGGCGGGUCUCUGGGCCGUAACUGACGCUGAGGAGCGAAAGCAUGGGGAGCGAACAGG